CUUUAAUAUUCAGUUUCACUGAACUGUAGUCAUUGGGUUCGACUAUCGUGAAGAAGUCGGUCACGAACAUGGAACUGAUAUGGCUGGUAUUCCCAACAACUACGGCAAAUAAUUAGAUGUUACUUCCUGAUGUUUGCCUACAGUACCUUCAUAUCAGUUAGAUAUACCACCCGCCUAGGAUUGCAAAAUUGUUCCAUGGUGAUGGCAUCCCCAUAACUUCGAUAAAUUGUACACUUUCGCCACCAUGAUGUCAAAAUAUGGAACUGCUCCAUGGGGAUGGCGUUAUCCACAACGGGGGUAAAUAGUUAGACGUCCAAUUCCUGACAUUUGCCCGAAAUUUGGGAUUCUCUUCUAUAGAAGCUCGAUUUCAGUUGGAUAGACCGCCCCGGCACCGCCUAGGUUUAAAAAAUAUGGAACUUCUCCAUGAGGGCGGUAUUAUCAACCAGCGAGGCCGACAAUUUGACGUUUAAUUCUCGAUUCUUUUUCUCCAAAUCCGCAAUUUUCUUCUUCAGAAGCUCAAUUUCAGCAGGACAGACCAUAGGACCGCCUAGGAUUGCAAUGAUCUCAGUUGCUGGAUGGUGUUCUUAAGUUUAUUGACUUCGGCGACAUGAGGAUCUUGGUUGACUACAGGCUUAUUCUUGAUUUUCUUGGCCCUAUCGGCGUAUCUAAGAGUGGAAACCGUUUCAUCUAAAUUGUAAUCAGCCGGACUGACACAGGCUAUCAUUAGUGUGAUGCUGUUACCACCCAAGGAAUCUAGAAAAAGUCUUGUGAGAUUGCUGUCCCGAUAUGGAACAAAGGAACUGGAUUUUGUUUCGUCACCUAAACAACUUAUAACAUUCCCCAGUACAAACAAGCCUUUAUUGAUGUUAACACCCUCUUUGAAAGUAUUUCCCACUGCACCAGUUUUCUUUGGCCUUUCAGAACCAGCUAAGUCGACCAAAUGCAAUUUUGCCGUAAUAUUCUUAUCCCUACAAUUAUGGCAAUGUUAACGGUGAAAAUGGCAUGGCUACGAGAACUUUGCGAAUUCAUGUUCGUAGAACCAGUGGCCCUUCCAGUGGAUCCUUUUGCCAGUUGAUCAAACACCUCUUCAGAGUUAGAGACUGGCACUUCAGUUAAUC